UUGGACAAUGAAAAAUGCAGAGAACGGAAAUAAAUAAUAUAAAAAAAAAUAUAUAUACACAUUGAUUACUCAGAGUCCCAGUUGACCUUUGUAACAGUUGAGAGUGUUCAAUUUUUAACAGAGAGUUUGUAGUUUAGAAUAAAUGUUCAGACUUUUAACUCAUCCUUUGCAGUGCUUUAAAGAGUUGCAGCCAUCAUUGUCGCUGGCCUCUUCAACACUCAAGGAGUUAUUAAGGCACUCUGCACUGUGACAGAUAGAUGCAGUUCCCUGAUGUGCUUCACCUGGAGCAGAUACCUUUCUGAUUCUUUACACAGUUAUUUCCAUUGCAAAGGCUAAAUUUAAAAAAAUUACACAUUUUUGGUACACAUUUUCCAUGAAACAAUUCCCAUUUUUCUGACCAGCCAUUGAAUAUAAGUAAUCAUAUUUAUCACCCACAUAAACAUAAAUGCAAGAUAUUUAAAUUGUCAUAAUUGUUAUUAGUUGAUUCUCAGAAUGCAAAUACUCAAAGUAGUUUCAUAACAUAUUGUUUAUUCCAGAGUUCUAAACACUAGAGAAAACAUAUCUAAGACGCUAGCAAGACUAUUCACCAAAGUGAGAAUCCAAAAUGAAUUUCAAAUUUAAGGACAAAGUAGAUGAACUGGAAGCACAGAUAAUUUAGACAUUUUUUUUUUUGCAAUUCAGCUAUUGUGCCCUUAAAAUUUAAAUUAACUCAGUUGAGUAUAGUCUGUUUGUAAUAUGUCUGUCUUAAUUGUCUGCUGUAGAGAAGUGCUGAGGAUCAUAUAAAUUAUACUAUAGCUGGCUGAAUUAGUGUUACUAUGACCUUAUAGGAUGCAUUUGCAUUAAUGACAUAGUUACUCACUAAAGAGAGAAUUGUUCUUAAUUCAACGUGAAUUCCAUUUUUUUAUUAUUGCAUUGCUGUAAGACAUUUUAUAUAUUUGAAAGAUUCUCGCACCAGUUUACCAGAAUGCCAUUCUUCUGUCAUGUUCUGCGUCAAGCAUUUACAUUAUCUUAUUCCGUAAUCAAAUAUCAAUCCUCUUAAUGCUAAACUUUGAAUACAGAUUAGAAAAUGGAAUGGACAACUGCUCAAAAAUAAAAUCCUGCAAGGAUGGGAAAAUGGUAGAUUUCCAGCUCGCAAUACAUCACCUUUUGGCCACCCUCGUGGUAGCGGGGCCCAAAAACAUUUCUUGUACCACGGCCCUCUCUAGAUUAGUUCUUCCACAAGUGCUAUAACUAUGUUUGUGCCGCAAAUGUAUAAAUAAUAAUGGCAAGACUUUUUAAGUGUAUAUGUGAUACAUGGGAUAGUGUAAAUUAUAAGGAAUUGGAAGUUGAAUUACAUUUUUUUUUCCCAAAAAUAGUAUAUUCUUCAAGUCACUAAUGUUUUUAAUCCAGCUAUUUAAGCUCAAUUUCAGGGUUAUUUACUGAAGUAGGAAUUGUCAGAAAUUCAAAGUGAAUUUUACAUUUUAGGCCAAAUACAUGAACUGCUAACAUAGCUGACUUGUAGCAUUUUUUCCAGUUCAGUUAGUUUGACCCAAAAUUGUUAAUUCACAUUGAAUCAGUAACGAUUCAUACUUUAGUGAAUGAUACUGUGAGUCUUCAAGCCUGAACAAAUUACAGUGUGAUUUCAAACACUUUCUAUUAUUGAACUAUCAUGAUAUGCUGGGUAUAUUGGCAUUCAGUGAGUUGUAGUGAGUUCAAAAUUAUCUGGCAAAAUAAAGACAAAAAAACCCGACAUCCAAUUAGCCAGAAAUUGAGUUUCUCUUAAAGGGCCACUAAAGUCAAUCAGACCACUUUAUCUCAAUGAAGUGGACUGAGUGCAGUGUCCCUGUCCUUUUAACCCUGCAAUGUUAAACACUGUAGUUCUAUAGGAACUGCAAUUUUUACAUUACAGGAUAAGGUCUACCCCUAGACUCGCUUCUGCUGCAACAACGAUGUAAAGCUUGGUCAGGUAAUAUUGCAGGGCACAGAGCAUGGCAUUGCAUUUUAUUCAAUGCUUUCGUAUGAGAAGCAUUAGAUAUGCGUGACAUUCACAACACAUGCACAUCAGGUCCCCAGUGCUUCUCUAUGAGAAACCUGAGUUGGACCAGCAAUGGAGGAGGUGACUCCUUCGUGAUGAUGUUGUGAAUUGGAAAGAGGCUAGUUUGAAAAUAUAAGUAAAAACCUAUUUUUAACAUUUUUAUAGCUAUCAGGUUGGGGGCCCUAAAUAUAAAUAGAGAUGGGGCAUUUUGGUGUUAGGAAUACAGGUUUGUAUCCCUAAACCUGUAGUGUUUCUUUAACUUUUGCCAUUGCAGACAGAAUUUUGCAACCCUGUUUGUAUCUCCUAGCAACUUGCCGUUAAGUAAAUAAACCUUUAUACGUGAGUGUGUGUGCAGUAUGUCACAGAAUGCUGUCUCUGCUUACACAGAUACUUUUUAACAAGAGUAACUGUAUAUCCCAGCAUAAUAAUAUUUCACUCCAUCCUCAACCACAUAAAAGCUCUACAACCAAGUCUAUUAACAAAAGGUAUCAUAUUCACAGCAUUCUUUCAUCAUGUAACAAAGACAGUCAGACAUCUGAUAAAUAUAUAAAUUAAUAAACAUACAGUUACAUAUAUCGGAUCCAUUCUUAUCAUCAAAAAAAGUGUACAAGUCAGUAAAACUAUUCAUAGCGAGUAAUUGUAUGGGUCUGUGCAGCUUUUUCAUGUUUAUUUACUAAAAUAAAUUUUCAGCUUGCAUCUAAAGACAUUUCUAACAUGAUUGUUAAUUCAAAUUAACUACUUUUCAGGUAUAAUUACAGCUCUUAGCAGCUUAAGUGCCUUAUUAAAGCCCUCUCUCCAGGGCAGCAAUUCCAUCUACAGUACUGUUAACCUCCCCUUAAACCCUUUUAAACUUGUUUAAUUGAUCAACACGCAAUUUUAACCCUCGUGUCUUGACCGAGAGUAGAAAAAAAAGACGGAGGCCAAACGAUGAUUUUGAAAAAUUAACUCAAAUUUCUUUUGAUCUCCAUAUUCAAGUAAUGAAAGCAUGCAAUAACACACACAAUUACAAGUAAAUAAUAUUAUAACAAGAAAUUGUUUGAUGUUUCGUACAGUGAAACAUUUUCAGCACCAUGAACAGUUCCAUUAAUUGCAAGUUAGCCUGUAUGGGAUUUAUGUGUUUUUAAGGCAAAUGAAAGAUCUACAUUACAUCCCCUAAAUGCUUAUAUAUGGAUAUCAGAGCGUAAAAAAUAAUCGAGACGAUAAAUGGAAAAUAAAUAAGGGGAAAACCACAGGUAAAUUGUCAAAACGUUGUUAAACAGUUUGUCUAUUUACUAUCGGAAGGUUCCAUGGCCCUCCUGACAUCAUAACUAUUACAGGGGGCAGUUAAGUUGCAUGGGAUAUUCCUUUACUCCAAACAUCAUAACACCUUAUGGAUCAUUCUUGGUACAGUACAGGGGUGACUAAAAGUUAGAUACCCAGGUGUUAUAGAGCUAGAACUCCCAUGAUGCUGUGCAUGCCUUUGGAAUGCCAUUAGAAUGACAAAGCAUCAUGGAAGCUGUAGUUUUAAAACAUCUGUGGAUCUACCUUUGGAUAGAGCACUCCCAUCUUGAAAUUUUCAGAUGUUUUUUAUUCUUUAUUUCUAAGUACAUUUCUCCAUGCAAAAUCCCCUUCCUUCUUACAUCAUAUUAGAAAUCCAUAGCUUCUUAUUCACCCAUAGAAGUAGAUAAACAUACCCUACUUGUGUGCAGGUCAAUAAUCAGUGCAAUUUAGAAAAUAGUAGCAAGCACUCACCCAAGGGGGAAGGAGGAGAGACAAUCAAAUUCUGAAGAACUGAAAGAAUAUGGAUGUCUGGGAGUGUUCUGGACUAUGUUUUAUUUUGAAGAAUUAAUCGGUGACUUAAUUGCAACAUUUCUAUACAAGCAAAGGGGAAUAAAAUUAACUCAGAUUUAUCUUCAGUUGUCUCUAAACUCUAAGUUAUUUUUGUUAAACACCUGUACUGCAAGCAUAGGCUUUUUAGGCAAACACUAAUUAUUUUAAAUAUCUGCUUUAUCAAGCGAAAAAAGAAACGUGUUAAAUGCAUAUAAGCCGAAACAAACUGAUCAUCUCUUAAGUUUCAGUUUUCAAAUCUUUGCUCGUUUUAAGCUUUAUAAGAUAAAAUAUUUUUUUCUUUGAAAGGGUUAUGGGAAUUCACUUUCUAUACAUGUAAUGCUUUGAUAAAAGUCCUAAUAUCAUCGAAUUCAUGAAUGUAUACAGUCAAUGGGAGAGACAGAGAGCAAAAUUGGGGCUAUUGACUAAUGUGAGAAUUGUUAGGAAUUCAAAGUGAACUUCUGAAAUUUAAAUAGCUGAAGUGGAGCUGAUUUGGAUUAUAUUUCCAGUUGGCUAGUUUGGCUUUAAAUUUGUAAUUAACUUUGUAUUCCCAACAAUUAUCACGUUAGAAGUAAAGUGUUGAUGACUGCAUUCACAAAUCGAUAUAAUAGGAUUCUUCCCAAGGUGUUUCGCAGGCUUGGGUAGCUAAAUUCUCAUCCACAUCAUAGAAACAAAAAGAUGUCCGGGCACUCAAAAUGUAUCUAAUAACAGACUUUUAUUUAGAAUAGAGAGGCAACGAUUCCACUAAAGCAGAACUGUGUAAUUCUCACUCUAGUGAAUAACUGUGAAUGUGUGUUGCUUAGAAAAUACUAGAUCGGAAUAUUGACCGUACACUGAAUGGUAACAUUAAAUAGGCUAUUUUAGCCUAAUUUUUCCAUUCGGAUUUUAAUUUGCUAAAAUUCUGAUUGUAAUCAAAUACUCCAAUGCACACACACAGACUUAACUCAAACUCCUACUACUCUUGGGCAGCAAUUUAUUACUGGAAUAAAAAAAAAUAUGUAAAGUUUUGCAUUUGACCUUCAAAAAAUGUAAAUAGUAUAUUUGUAGAACAUUUGUGACCAUUAUAUUUCUACAGUAUGUUUUACAUUGUUUAUUUUGUCCUUAUUGCAUGGUGUAGACUUUAAAGGAGCACUAUAGGCACCCAGACCACUUCAGCUUAAUGAAGUGGUCUGGGUGCCAGGUCCAGCUAGGUUUAACCCUUUCUGCUGUAAACAUAGCAGUUUCAGAGAAACUGCUAUGUUUACAUUUGGGUUAAUCCGGCCUCUAGUGGCUGUCUCAUUGACAGCCGCUAGAGGCGCUUGCGUGCUUCUCACUGUGAUUUUCACAGUGAGAAGACGCCAGUGUCCAUAGGAAAGCAUUGUGAAUGCUUUCCAAUGAGACUGGCUGAAUGCACGCAUUCAGCUGAGGAGGAGGAGAGGAGGAGGAGAGUUCCCUGCCCGGCACUGGAGAAAGAGGUAAGUUUUUACCCCUUUCCAGACCCCGGCGGGAGGGGGUCCCUGAGGGUGGGGGCACCCUCCGGGCACUUUAGUGCCAGGAAAACGAGUAUGUUUUCCUGGCACUAUAGUGGUCCUUUAAUGACUUUCAGGUGGUUGUAGGUUAAGGACAAUAAAUGGUUAAUUAACUAAACUGGGGACUGCAGCAAUAUAACAAGUUAACUACAGAUUUUGGGCCAAUAUAUUGCUGAAUUGGACAAAUUCUCCAAGUCAGCUUGAUUACUUCUUCAGCUGACUUUCUUGAGUUAUUUGGAAUAAACUCCCAGUUUAGUAAACAGACCUUAUCCCUUUUAUACCUUGCUGUUAUAAGUUAACUGUGCGUGUAAGACAGAAUUAACAAAUACAUAGGAGUCUGGAUUGCAUAUUACAAGGCUACAAUAAAUAGAAUUACAUUUUCUAGAAUCCACUUAAAAAAUUUAAGUACAAGUUUUAGGUCAAAAUAGUCUAACUGGAAGAAGGCUGUUUGGCCAAAAAUGUUUAAAUUGGCAUUGAAUUCCCAGUUUAGUAAAUAACUUUGUAUGAUUUUUUUUUUCCUGAUUGAUUGAUUGCUGUGAAAUCUGGAUUUUAAAAGCUAACUUUAAAGGGUUACUCAAAUAAUAGUUUUAACUACUUAUUGUUUUUACAGUAAAUACUAAAACACUUAUUUAAUAGCUUUCUUUUGUCCCUUACCCCUUUUAAAAUAGUAUAAAAAAAAACCCCAAAAAUAAAUAAAAAACUUACAUCGAAUCCUGCGCUGUGCCAAGUUCUCCUUGAUUGCUUCCAAGGCUCUUGUUUUACAAUGCUGUGUCAUCUUCAUCCUUGAUGAUGUCCAAUCAAGUGCGUCUCAUAAAGAAGCAUUGAUGGACUUUUGGUGCAUGCGCAUCAAGCGCCAGAAACGCACCAAUCAUAGAGAAAAAUCAUAGAGAAAAAGCAUUUAAAAAUUCAGUCCACGGUGCAAGCGGAUGCCAGAUAUAAUUUUUGCACAUAACUCCCAUUAGACAGCCUGGUACAGAGUUCUGGGUUUCCGAAGUCAUGUGUGCUAGGGUUGCAACUAGCCCCCGGCAAAAUAAAAUGUGGAGAUAUCUCUGUCCAAAAAAGCAGAAAGUGGUUAUGGAGGCUGGAGUUUAUAAUUUAUAAUGUAAGUAGUAUAUGUGUGAUAAACAAAAAUGUGUCAUUACUGUAUUUGCACUUGUUUAUUCCUUAAUUUACACCAUAAUAUUCCAGUCUCUUCCAUCACUUAAUUUUCCUGUUCUUGGUUGUUUUUUUUGGUUAUUUAAAAAAAAAAAAAAAAAUGUUAAGGUUCACAAAUGUUCCUCCAAAUAUAUUAAAAAAAGUAGGUGCUAGGUUGCUAAUUUUUUCCAAGAACAUUUUCUUGCCUUCUGUGAUUUUAUUUAAGCAAAUGCAUCAUUUUUCCUAGAAUAAUACUCUAAAAAUUGAAUUGACUAAAAAGGUGGAGUAAAAUUUUUAUAUUUGAGAAAAUGGUGCAUGCUCGCAAAACUGGCGCGAAUAUGAAUGACAAUUUUUAGAUGUAACCCCAAUAGUAUUGCUAUAUAUAGGGUUAAGAGAUCCACCAUGUUAUUAUUGACACAUCAUUUUGUCAAAUGCAUGAAAAAUUCAUGAAAAGGGUUUCUCUGCAGUAAAUGUGAUGCAUAUCCUGCAGGAUUCCUUAUUGCCUAAUUAAUUAAUCUUAAACACCUUCCUCUGAAUUCUACAUACUACAGGGUAGCCCUUUUCAUGUGCUGCCCAUCAAUAUGUAUAAGUGAUAUCAGUCCAUUAAAACAUGGAGGAUCUGAAAACCUUAACUCGCUCACUCGCUCUCUCUCUCUCUCUCUCUGUCUCUAUAUAUAUAUAUAUAUAUACUCAUGUGUAUAGCUUGGUGUUUUUUCUCUAGUACUUAGAACUCGUGUGCAUUUGAAAAUUGUGUUUAUCUUUUUAACACUGGGGCGCUACCCUUUCCAUUGAGAAGUAGAGAUUUAUAGUUGAAAUGCAUUGUAAUUCUCUUGAUGUUGUGGACAUCUAUAAUCAAACGUCAGGACAUUACGAGUAAAUCAUUUUGAUUGUUACUUUUUUUUUAUAAAAAUGCUUUUUGCCUCACGCUUUGUAUGCCUGUGGUUUACCCAGAAUAGUUAAACAAUUUGUGCUGGUCUACAAAGAAAAUAUUACAUUUAUUAACAGUAAAGCUUUUCGGAUUGUAUUUUAUAAAAGGCUUGUGAAGCACUGAUGCUAAAAACCUGAAACAACUCAAUUCACAGUUUGCCAGCUGGCUCCAUCAAUAAUAUUGUAAAACCUUGUAUUUUUAAUGGGAACUGUGGUGCCAGAUACUCUAGAAUGAAUGUAAAAAUACAAAACAAAAUCCAUUGAAAUAACACUUUAUACUCUCUCCUUUGAACUCUUGAAGCUCUCAAUAAAACAUUCUAUGGAGCCUGGAAUUAAAAACGUUAUCUGUGUUUUAGGAUGACGUUUCAAAAAUAUUAAUUUGGGAAUAUAUUUACAAAGCACUGAAUUCUGAUGAGAUGCCAAACAUAGACUAAAAAUUUCUGACUUAAAAAAAAAUUACAAAUGGAGGCAAAAUGUGUUUUUUCAAAUAAAUUUUUUUUCUGUUCUAGAUUUUGCAUGCCGCUUGCCCCCUCCCACAGUUCACUGUUGAGUACUCUGAGAGGUGUAACAGUUUAAAUGUAUGUCAUUGACUUUUGAAAACUGCUCUUACGCAAUUAAUUAAUCUGUAUUCUCUGUCAGUGUUCCCUCGAAUAAUCAUUGUUGUAUGUGACCUGUCACCUGGUUCAGUUAACGUUGUAAUUUGAAAUGACUACAUAUUGCACACCACUGUUCACAGAUGUUUUUAAAAAAUGUUCUUUUUCUCUGAAAAGUGUUGGUUAUUUGGUUUAUCUAACAGAAAUAUAAAACCAAGACAAGAUAUACAUCGAGACCUGAUCCAGCACAUACAAAAUGGAACCUCAAGCGCUUGGUUCCUCAAGAUAAUACAGCCUGAUUAACAUUAUUUCUUCAUUAACAUGUUAGGAAUUCAAAUUGAUUUCUAAUUUCUAAGUCAAAAUAGUCAAACUUAAAAAAUUCUCCAAGUCAGCUAGGAUUUCAGCUUAGCUGUUUUGGCCUAACCUUUGAAAUUAAUUUAGAAGUCACAUGUAAGUAAAUAAUUCAAAACGUGCUUUUAUUCAUCCACUAUCAAGGUUUUGAUAAAGACCUAUUGUGGUCAGCACCUUUAAAGUUUAUUUUAUUUUUCUGAAUGGUUUUAAGCAUGGAUAGUUGCUUUGUGGUUUCAAUUCAUGAUCAUUUUAGAAACAAAUUUAUUUUUUUAUUAUUGGAAAACAUCUACAGGGAUGUGUUU